UACGUAGGGGGCGAGCGUUGUCCGGAAUUAUUGGGCGUAAAGAGCGUGUGGGCGGUUCGGUAAGUCUGCCGUGAAAACCUGGGGCUCAACCCCGGGCGUGCGGUGGAUACUGCCGGGCUAGAGGGUGGUAGAGGCGAGUGGAAUUCCCGGUGUAGCGGUGAAAUGCGCAGAUAUCGGGAGGAACACCAGUAGCGAAGGCGGCUCGCUGGGCCAUUCCUGACGCUGAGACGCGAAAGCUAGGGGAGCGAACAGG
rnacentral:rRNA from 1 species